rfam:Canis lupus familiaris chromosome 11, whole genome shotgun sequence.
GGGGGGAGGCCCGAUCCUGGGCUGUGUCCCGGCACCCAGUGCUCCGGGGCCUGUGCUGUUGGAUUCGUGCUCCCGCCCCGCAGCCCCCU